AAACACACAACAUGAUCUUCUUUAUUUAAUUGUUUAAUCAGUUUACAUUCCACAACUGACAGAUUAUUUAUUUUAUUUUUUUCCAUGAACAAGUCAUUGAAUUAUUACCAGACACUUUUUUUUUCUUCGAUCGAUGAUGGAAAGACGAUAUUUCUGCCAAUUUGAAAAAGAAAAUUGCAAGAUGGAGUGUCAGUGAAGUCCCCCAAAUGCUCUCUGCUUCCUCAGUCCUUGCAAAAAUCACGGGAACCUGGCAAUUUCCCUUUUCAUCCCCCCCCCCCCCCACUUCCCACUUUCCUGUUACAUUCACCUCUCCGAAGAGUACAAUUGUCUCGAGAUCUGGUUUGGAUCACCUUUCCUGUAAUUAAUUAAUUAUGAGAAGUAACAGACAGCACAAUAGAGCUGAUAAGAUGUAGCAUUCUUGUUAAGAUGAAACAACACAUUUAUUCACAUCGUAUCAGAAUGAAUUAACAGAAUAUUUAAUCUUAUUUUAGCACCAAUAACCACAGGAAUUUGCUACCUCCCAGGGCAGAGGCGGUGUUGGGAUCCUGCAGUACACACCACUCCUUGUCUAACCAGUCAGAAAGCACUAGGCAAAUGAAGGGUAAAUUUGUAGAAAUCUAUAUUGACCAAGCAAUAAUCUGGUGGACCAUAAACACUCCAGGUGUUCGAGAGUUUUGUCAGUUAUGAUCCCUGUCUAAUGACCAUAUAGAAAACAUACUCACCAAAGGGGCUCAUUUUCUUUCACUUGGUAACACAGGGCUCAGAAUGUUCUAUUUUAAAUGAGUUAAAUCUUGUCAUACUGGCUCUUUGAAAUGCUUUGAGUAUGCCCAGGGGUGGCUUGCUUGCAUUUUAUCCUGUUCUCUGUGCUAAGAUCUCGGAAAACUGUCUUCUUCCCCAUCCACCCCCACCCCACACAAAAGAGGUUUCUUCGCAUCUAAGGAAGGUCUCUAGUCAGGGAGGACAGAUAGGCAGUGGCGGCCUGAGUCCCAGUGCAAAGGACAGAACCUGUCAUCACCACAACCUCCUAGAAAACCCAGUCUUGCCUGUAGUCACUGCUAUCUCCAGCGGAUCCCCUUUUAGCACUUGACUUAAAGAUACAAAUGUAAGGAAAUUAAGGGGCUGAAAGGAACAGCUCUGAAUAUUGGUGAGAUGUUCUUAGCAGAUGAUUGGACUAGAUGACAAAAUGGUGUGUUCAUUAUUCUUGACCAAGAGGAGGCCUGUCUAGCCCCCCUCACCACUGUACGAUAAAGGGCAUGUGCAUAGGGAUAAGUUGGUGCUCUCAUAGCUGAAGAAAGUGACCUGCUCUAGCCUCUAGAACUUUGAGGAGUCAUUGGCGCCAUGCCCAGGGGCAGUGCUGACACCCUGUGGGGCACAGGUGACAUGUAUUUGACAAGCGAUAGUCCUCUCUGACUAAGCAGGUGAAGCAGAAUUUCAGGGGUUAGGAUAGCAGACUGGCUGCCCCUGCUGUGCUCUACUCUGAGCCAACACCAACCUCUGGCCUCUAUCACCUGGGAGAUCCGAGUGACUCAUGGGGGAGGGGGUCCGAUUAGACAUCUUAACAAAGAGUCUCAAUCUUUGCUGUCCUAUAUGGUAGCCAGGUGCCAUGUGUGGCUGUUGAACACUGGAGAUGUGCCUGGUCCAAACUGCAAUGCUUUCUAAGAAUAAAGUGCCCAUUGGAUUUCAAAGACUUCAUUAAAAGGAAACGGAUGUAAGAUAUCUCAGUAAUGUUUUAUAUUGAUUCCACGUUAAAAUAAUAGUUUUGGCAUGUUGGGUGGAAACGUGUUAAAAUUACUUUCAACUGUUUAUUCGGACUUUUAAAACUGGGGCCACUAGGAUAUUUAAAAUUGCAUAUGCGGCUUACAUUCUAUCUCUGUUGGACAGCACUGGUCUAAAUUGCCUUCCUGACACCGGUCCCGGAGUGAUGAUCACUGCGGACCAUCAGAAAGGAGGAAGGCUUGGAUUAUAGGCCCCACCUCAGGGCACCUCAUCUUCUCAGUCCGAGGGGAGGCACCUCCUUGUGCUGUAGGAUUCCCCGUCCUUCUUUCCUACUUCCUGCUACUUCCCUGCCUCUCAGGGCUUCCUGUUUCAUCCUUGCCAUGCUGAGGAUGCUCUGGUAAUUCUCCCAUUACCCCUUCCCAAAGCUUUCUUUAUCUUACCUCCAUAGGCAACUCACGUCUGCUGCCCACGGCCUGUACCCCACCACCCACUAGGGCUGUCUUCCUUCUGCUUGGCAGCAUCCCUUAGCCAGCCUCCCUGCUUCUGACAUCACAAGCCAUGUUUGUACAGUGAGUCACAGAUUACAAAGCAAUUCACAGGCACCAUCUCCUUUGAUACUCUCCUACCCCAGCUGGCAAAACUCUGUCAGGAUAGUAAAAUGAGAAUGGCAAAGUGGGUGGGAAAAGGCAUCUGAGAACAAAAAGGUAGAUCAAAGGCUUUGGACUGGAGCACAAACUGGCUGUUAGCUUGAGGUUACUUUCUGCGGAGUGAGAGGGGCAAGAGGAGCAUGGAAUAACUCUCCAAACGGACCUCCAGGGGGGAAGCACACGCACCUGCGUGGGCCGAAGCCUCUAAGGAUAGCAGCAGAAUGGCCAAGGAGACGUGGUGCCCCAGGGGCCCCAGGAGCCCCCUGCUCCCCAUUUGGCUGAGAGGACACAGAGACAGUGAGGUAACAAGACUCGCCUGAGGCCCCCAGUGAGCCGGUGACAAAGCUACGAAUGCAAACCCAGGAUCAGGUCUUUGCAGUGACCUUCGUGAUGACCUUCGCCCUUCAGACUUGGAUGACUUGCUUUGACUUUCUGGAAAAUAUAUUUUACUUUAAAGGCAAAAAGCUUUAGAACAGAGGGUCCCAAGCAGACACUAGUGACUGUCAAGAGAAGCAACCAGAAAAAACAACAACAACAACAACAACAACUCCUGUGCCAACGGCUUCCUUCCCUUCAAAUCCCACCUGGAGUCAGGAUUCUAGGGCAGUCUACGUAAGUCCUCCAAAAACUGAGGGCUACGUCAAUGCGUGUGUCUAGUCUCAAUACCCUCCCCCUUAUUUUCAGUUUCCACUUUUAUUUGUACAUUUUUACAAAUAGUCUUAGAUCUAAAACAGUCACACCAUGGGUGGGAGUGGGAAAGUAGUCUGAGAAUGAGUUAGUGAAAGCUCCCUAUGUGAAAGGCAUCAUCACAUCCACAACGACACAGACACACCAAAACAUUCAGGCUUGAGAGGGUCUCCAGGAGAUGGGGAAAGAAGGGAGAGGUUUGGCCGGAGGGAGUCAGGGGAGACAGAAGAGAGAGACACAAGAGUUCCCCAAGGAGCAACACUCAGUCCUUGGAAAUGAAGAAUAGGAUUACAGUUGCCAAAGUUGGCAUCUGUCAAAGUGAGGCCAGGUUUGAGCUACCACUGUGCACCCCUCCAUGCUUACACCCAAUUUUCUGCUUCUCAAGAGUGAACAAACACCCCCUGUGGUUGGGUAGGCCCCCCAUUCUUGGUUGGGCCCUAUCCUUAUAGUGAGCAAGGACUUGGACUUCUCUUAGAGAAGGUCUCACAGUAACAUUGAAACCAGAUCCCCUGCAAAGCACAAAGUGUGCAGACCCUUUUGGAAGUGCAUUCUUGUCUAGAACCUAGGAUUCAGUUUUUCCCAAAUAGGAUCACACCCAGAACAUCUCCUAGUGAAUGCACCAUCCAAAGGACUUCCUAUGAGAACCCAUAUGCUUUUGAUGAAGCCAUCUGCUUUACCAACUGACAAGAGAAAGAAGAUUCCAGUUCUUUGAAACUGGUUCCCAUCUUAAACUUCAAAGACCAUUAAAAAAUGUUUCAGACCCUGAUCUGUUCCCACUGCUAGGGCAUGUACAGCCACAAAUCAUGUUUGAAGAAAAGAGAAAAAAAAAAAAGGCAUUGACCCCAUGCCUUGCUUAAUAGUUAACUGUGUUAGCACAUAUAUGCUACUUGCUUCAGAUGGUUUACUCAUUCCGUGACCUCUGGGAAUAAUCGAGAGGGAUUAAGAGUGCCCUUUGCAAAAUUGGCUUUGGACAAAAGGAAGGAAGCCUGAGAAUGGGUAAAUUAAGGAGCCAACCUCUGUGAGGGACUCGAAUGAUAAAACAAUCCCACGUGCUGAAGCUGGAUUGAACGGCCCUAUCUGGUGGCCAAGAUGACCGCUCACUCCCAAUUGUCCUUCCAGCAGUGAGGACCAGACAUCACACAGAAGAAUUCCGCAUGAUGGGGGCUCUGCUGCUGCAGGAUCAUUUGAACAAUGCGUGAUUUAUGUGACACGUCAUGUUUGCAAAUCACUUUGCAAUUUCCUUGUCACCCUUAAUAUACCAUGAGGUAAAGUGUUAUC
rnacentral:lncRNA from 1 species